GACCGUGUAGCUCAGUUGGAAGAGCAUUGGGCUAGUAUUCCAAAGGUCGUAGGUUCGAAUCCCACUGUGGCCG